UACAGAGGGUGCAAGCGUUGUUCGGAAUUACUGGGCGUAAAGCGUGCGCAGGCGGUUAUGUAAGACAGGUGUGAAAUCCCCGGGCUUAACCUGGGAACUGCAUUUGUGACUGCAUAGCUAGAGUACGGUAGAGGUUGAUGGAAUUCCAGGUGUAGCGGUGAAAUGCGUAGAUAUCUGGAAGAACACCAGUGGCGAAGGCGGUCAACUGGCCCGUAACUGACGCUGAGGCACGAAAGCGUGGGGAGCGAACAGG
rnacentral:rRNA from 1 species